rnacentral:rRNA from 1 species
GGCGGCAUNCUUUACACAUGCAAGUCGAACGGUAACAGGGUGCUUGCACCGCUGACGAGUGGCGAACGGGUGAGUAAUGCGUCGGAACGUGCCGAGUAGUGGGGGAUAACGCAGCGAAAGUUGUGCUAAUACCGCAUACGUACUGAGGUAGAAAGUGGGGGACCUUCGGGCCUCACGCUAUUCGAGCGGCCGACGUCUGAUUAGCUAGUAGGUGAGGUAAAGGCUCACCUAGGCGACGAUCAGUAGCGGGUCUGAGAGGAUGAUCCGCCACACUGGGACUGAGACACGGCCCAGACUCCUACGGGAGGCAGCAGUGGGGAAUUUUGGACAAUGGGCGAAAGCCUGAUCCAGCCAUGCCGCGUGUCUGAAGAAGGCCUUCGGGUUGUAAAGGACUUUUGUCAGGGAGGAAAUCCCUAGUGCUAAUAACACUGGGGGAUGACAGUACCUGAAGAAUAAGCACCGGCUAACUACGUGCCAGC